GUGGGGAAUAUUGGACAAUGGGCGAAAGCCUGAUCCAGCAAUGCCGCGUGAGUGAAGAAGGCCUUAGGGUUGUAAAGCUCUUUUACCCGGGAUGAUAAUGACAGUACCGGGAGAAUAAGCUCCGGCUAACUCCGUGCCAGCAGCCGCGGUAAUACGGAGGGAGCUAGCGUUGUUCGGAAUCACUGGGCGUAAAGCGCACGUAGGCGGCUUUGUAAGUUAGAGGUGAAAGCCCGGGGCUCAACUCCGGAACUGCCUUUAAGACUGCAUCGCUUGAAUCUGGGAGAGGUAAGUGGAAUUCCGAGUGUAGAGGUGAAAUUCGUAGAUAUUCGGAAGAACACCAGUGGCGAAGGCGGCUUACUGGACCAGAAUUGACGCUGAGGUGCGAAAGCGUGGGGAGCAAACAGGAUUAGAAACCCUUGUAGUCC
rnacentral:rRNA from 1 species